rnacentral:rRNA from 1 species
GACGAACCGAGCGAACGUUGUUCGGAAUCACUGGGCUUAAAGGGCGCGUAGGCGGGUUCUCAAGUCCGGGGUGAAAUCCCACAGCUCAACUGUGGAACUGCCUCGGAUACUGGGUGCCUCGAGGGUGGUAGGGGUAUGCGGAACUAUCGGUGGAGCGGUGAAAUGCGUUGAUAUCGAUAGGAACUCCGGUGGCGAAGGCGGCAUACUGGACCACAUCUGACGCUGAGGCGCGAAAGCCAGGGGAGCAAACGGG